rnacentral:rRNA from 1 species
GACGAACGCUGGCGGCGUGCUUAACACAUGCAAGUCGAACGGAAAGGCCCUGCUUGUGUGGGGUGCUCGAGUGGCGAACGGGUGAGUAACACGUGAGUAACCUGCCCUUGACUUUGGGAUAACUUUAGGAAACUGGGGCUAAUACCGGAUAGGAGCUCCUGCUGCAUGGUGGGGGUUGGAAAGUUUCGGCGGUUGGGGAUGGACUCGCGGCUUAUCAGCUUGUUGGUGGGGUAGUGGCUUACCAAGGCUUUGACGGGUAGCCGGCCUGAGAGGGUGACCGGCCACAUUGGGACUGAGAUACGGCCCAGACUCCUACGGGAGGCAGCAGUGGGGAAUAUUGCACAAUGGGCGGAAGCCUGAUGCAGCAACGCCGCGUGCGGGAUGACGGCCUUCGGGUUGUAAACCGCUUUCGCCUGUGACGAAGCGUGAGUGACGGUAAUGGGUAAAGAAGCACCGGCUAACUACGUG